CCCGGCUCAGCGCGCCGGUGGCGGGGUCCGACACGGAGCUGUGCCCGGUGCUGAGGUUGUUGCUAUGCUGCAGGAGGAUCACCAUGGCAACCGGGUUACCACUGUAGGAUGGCUGUCCGUCUCCGAAGGAGGAGGAGAAGGAAGAGAAGCAGCUGAGCAGCAGCAGUGUGGCCGUCCACACGUCAACACAUUCAUCCCCGGAUAAUAAAUCCAGGGUGGAGGUGAAGAGGAGCUCAUGAGGUCAGCAGCACAGAGAAGACUUGGACACCUGCACGUGUCACGGCGUGCAGGUCAACGGGGAUGAUUGGAGGAAACUGAGGGUUUUAGUUUACUUCUCUCUGACAGUCAGGAGUUUUUAAAGCACUGUUCUUUAUGAAAACAUAUUUUAUAUCCAAGGUGAACCAGGUGUUAGAACACCGAGUCCUCGAGUCCAGUUGAUUAUCGUCUUUGUAUCUCUGUCAGUUUGAGAUAUUGCACCUUAAAUACGAAGCCGGACGACUAGAUGCUCCGAGUAACACUGUUAAAUCCUCACAAGCUCAGAAAAUACUGACUUUUUGUGUUUUAAUAUUUUCUGUUCUGCCUUCUCGUAUUAACUUCACCGUAUUCGAGGUUUCCUUCAGUUUGACUUGUUGACUCUCCUGCUUCUGCUCGAUGCAAACUCUGUUUUUAAAGGUGCUACAGGAAUCAAGAACACUGUCAUGUAGACAAUAUGAACGAGUUCACCACUAAUACUCACUUAACAGCACAUAUCCUCAAAAGAAGGAACAGAAAAGAGUCUCUCACUCACAUUAAACACCUUACAGCUGCACUACAAACAUUAGAUCAUUGUUCAAACUAUUGUGGGAAUUAAAAACAAAUAUAAAAUAACCAUCUAUAUGUUAGUCUAAAUCCAGACUUCUUGAUCGAUGCCCAGAUCCAUUCAGCAUGAUUAGUGUGUAAUGACUUAAAAUGGGGAAGAGAAAUGAUCAUUUAGUCUGAAUGUCAGGCUGAUAAUGUGUGGUGGCGUGAAAAGAAAUGAUCAAUAAUUUCAUUUGUUCAAGCUUUAGAUGAAGGAUGAAGAAGUAAAAUGACACCUGGACUGAAACAAAGAGUCCUCCUGCUUGAAAA